rnacentral:misc_RNA from 1 species
UGUGCCGGCCGUACUACUG